GGGGGCCCUGCCUAAAGCUGUAUAAGGGGCCCCAAAAUUUGUGAUGGCUGCCCUGCAUACAGUAUUUAUAUUUCCAUAUAAUCUAUGUAGUUGAUCCUCAUAGCUGAGGUCCCCAAUUCCUCCUAUUAAUUCUGCUGCACUUCACUGAAUGCUUUUCAAUUUAAACAAUGUCUUUCAUGAGAACUGAUGACAAAAACUGAACUGCAUGUUCAGGAUGAGGCCAAACCAGUGUUUUGUAAAUUAUUGAUUUAUCUUUGGAAUGUAUGCCUCUUUUAAUGCAUGAGUAUUUUUCUAGCUUAGUUUAGUUUGGCUUGGCAUUGCAUGCUUUUGCUAAGCCUUUAAUAUACAACCACCCCCAUAUACUUUUCCAUCACUUAUUCUCCCAGGGAAGCCUCUCCUAAUGUGAAUUUUACAUGUAUAGUUUUUGUACUGAAGUGCAUAAAGUUACAUUCCUUAAUAUUGCACCUCAUCUGCCUUGUAGGUGCCCGACUCCUGUUUUAUCAAGAUCAUUCAGUACAUGCGGUGCCAAAUUAAAUUUCCUGCAUAAUUUGGUAUCAUCAACAAACAAUGAAAUUGAGCUCUUAAUGUGGUUCUAAAGGCAAAAGUUUUUUUUUUAACCUUUAAAGCGAAAAACAUUUUGGAGUGCAGCUGGCCCCCAGAGCCCCCCUUUUACUUACCUGAACCCAAUCUUUCCAGCAAAGAGAACAUGCCCAGCAGCUACAGCCACUGUUUUGGGACCUGUUGCUGUCAAUCAACUCCAGUGACACGGGAGUCGGGGGCAGGGCCGAGUUCUGGUGUCUGUGUCAAUGGACGCAGCAGCAGGACUCGGAAGCGUACCCACAUGAGUGCCCCCAUGGAUAGCGGCACUCAGUGGGGGCACUCAAUGUGGAGGAGGAGUCAGGAGCACCACUGGGGGACCCCAGAAGCGGAGUAUCUGGGCCACUCUGUGCAAAACCCUUUUUUUUUCACAAACCGUUUAAGGCAUUUUCUAUUUUAAGGUGAAACAACACUCUCAAUAGCAGCUCCCCCAGCAACACCCCCACCCCCUUUUCUGUAAACACUUACCUGAGUCGUCUCUCAAUCCAGUGCCAUCUGCAGCAACUCUUCCCCCUCUUCCUGUAUGCACAGGAUGCUUUGAUGGCAGCAGGAGCCAAUGACUCCUGCUGCCAUUAUUUAAAUCAUGUGAGGAGGAGGCAGGGGUGGUGCUCCAGAAUGUGCCCACAUGAGUGCCCCCAUAUCAAACGGCUUGUUAUGGGACACUCAGAGAAGAGGAGGAGCACAGAGCGGUGGCAGGGAACCCCAGAAAAUUAGAGGUGCACAGGGGUGCACAGAGCAGGUAUUUAUAACAUCUUUUUUUGUUUUAAGAAAAACAAAAUAAGGGUUUACAACUGCAUUUAUUCCAACCUCUAUAUAUUAACAAACACAUGUAAAAGCAUUGGCCCCAAGACAAAACCCAGAAAACCAUUGUGGUUUUUUUUUCUGCCAUUUGUGAAUUCCUUAGGGAGAUUUUCCUACGCUUCUUGUCCUGAAGAUUAUGCAGGAAGUGAGGGGAUAUCUUUCUAAUGUGAGGGAACCCCCCCCCCCUUCAUUUAUGAAUCAAAACAAUUAGAGAGAAUCAAUCUCCCUAACAGGAACAGCAAUAACAACCUGACAGUAUUUCCAACCCCCUCAAUUGGUCCACAUCUAUUUAAAAAUACUCCCUUGGCAGCACAAUAAAUGAUAGAAUACAAUGAACUUACUUGAGUUUAUUUAGCAGACACACAGUGGAGAUUAUCAUGAUUAUCAUGUAUUUCAGAAAGGGAGCAAUAGAUUUUACUGGUAAGUAAAAAAAAAA